AGAUGUGAGGGCGAUCUGGCUGUGACAUCUGUCACCCCACUGAUUGUCACAGGUGAUUCGGCUGAUCUGGCUGGCCAGGCAGGGGUCCCCUUCCUCCCUCACUGCUCCAUGUGAGUCCCUCCCGAAGUGGCAUGCUCUUUCGGAGAGGAUGACCUUUGCCAAUAGGGGAGGACUGCUCUUCGGUCCAGGGUAUACAAGUAGCUGUGCUCCCCAGCGAAAACCUCCAAACAGGUUCAUUUGUAGGAGAAUCUAGGGUAGUCAGGCUUCCAAGACUCGAGACACAUCCAAAUGAGGCACUGCGUGUGGCAGUCUGCCUAUCUUA
ensembl:misc_RNA 7SK 7SK RNA